CCCCAAAUUCUAAGAAGUUGUAUCAAAGUUGCCCAAAGAUAUGGGGAGGGGGGCUUCCUGUGUCACCCCCCUGCCCUCCGGCAACCAGCAGCUUGCUCUCUGUAUCUGAGUCCACUUCUGUUUUGUUCAUUUGUUUUUAGAUUCCACAUACACACGAAAUCAUAUGGUAUUUCUCUGACUUCUUGCACUCAGCAUAAUGCUCUCCAGGCCCAUCCGUGUUGUUGCAAUGGCAAGAUUUGCCUCUUGUUUAUGGCUGAGUAGUAUUCCACGGUGUACACACAUUUUCUUUGCCCAGUCGUCUAUGGAUGGACAACGCUGGGUCGCUUCCGCAUCUUGACUAUUGUGAAUAACACUGCAGCCACCAUGAGGGUGACGCGGUGUAAGAAUCUGACGGUGGCAUCCAGGCUUUAUCAGAGGGACAGUACCACAGGCACAGGGAGGCGUGGGAACGGAGACGUGGGGGAGCUGGGCCCGGACGGCGUGCCGAACUGCCCCACACGCUUCCCGCCCUGUGUGUGACCAGGGAGGGAUUCUGUCACUCGUAACGAUCAGCAUCCUGACACCGUGUGUUUCCCAGAAGACCAGUUAGAUUUAAAGAUCAGCAGAAGUGACUACCUCUUCGUAAGUUACGCCUUUGCGUUUGCAAACGGGCAGUGUCUCCACGGACCGUCACCGCUCUCUGCGACUGUGUCGAAGCUGCCUUCACACAGAGGUCAGAGUGCCGGACUCCACGCCUGUGCGUUUCGUCAUCACAAACGGGCUCCCUUCUGCUUACUGUCUGGAUGUAUAAGAACUUGUACGGAUUAAUCGCUAAAGGCUUUCACUGCGUAUCACAGGUUUUCAGUAAAUCCGCUUGAGUUUCCCAGAUGCAUAAUCACAUUUAUAAAUAACUCUCCUUCCUUUCUGAUACUUCAGGAUUUACGGUCUCUUCUUGUUUAAUUACUGAUUUCAGUAGUUAAAGCUUCUAGAAAAUGUUUAAAUAAACACGUUUAUGUCAAGCAUCUUUGUUUUGUUCAACUUCAACGUUUGAUUUCCAUGUUUCCAAAACAGUAUUAAUGAAAUAUUACAUGUUUCAAUUUUA